UCCCCUCGCUCACUCACUCACCCACUCACUCAGUCGCCUCUUCACGCUCGUUCCCCUCGCUCACCCAGUCCACCAAAUCCCUAGCCCGCGGCGGCGACGCACCUCCCCCUCACUCGCGUCGGCGAAUCAACCGCGUCGCCGCCCUUCUCCUCAGGCGUCGCCGCCGGGCCUUCUCGUCUGCGUCGCCUCUCCCUCUUGCCCGCAUCCUCUGCGUCACAGUCGAGCCAAAGUUGGAUAUUUUAGCGAGGUCGAGUAGGAGCGUGAGAAGCGCGGGCACGGCGGCCUUGUCCUGCUCGAGGAAGGCGGCGACGGAUGCUAGCGCUCCUCGCCGCCAUCGACCUGCAAGGAGGAGCGCCGUGUUGGACGCUGCCAUCUCCGACGCUGCUGGUACUCCUCCGCCGCUACGAGUGCCCCAUCACCUGCGCCCAGGUCAAGCGCGAAGUCGAGCUCCCCAUGCUUGACCUGCAAGAUGUACUGUGGUCAAGAACUGCUCUCUGCCGCGGGAGUAGAUUGGAAAGGCUGCUGCUGCUCCUGUACAAUGCGGCUGCUACUACCACUACCACUCAUCGAUUCGGGCAUGAGCACAUUCUUGGAGUGGAUCUGCAUUUCAAAAAGUUAACAAGUGGGAGUACAUGGAGUACUACAUUUUAAGUCGAGGAGAAGAUGGUAACUGCUCCGUGAUGAUGCCACCAGCACCUACGACUUCCUCGACCACCACCACCAUGAUGACGACUUCCUCGAACGUGCGAGGCAGGUGAGGAGGAGGGUUACCAGAGGCUGGAGGAAAAUGAGAGCAGGGACUGUCCGCCGAGCAUCCCCAUCGCUGGCGAGCCGAGCAUCCCCAGCCGGUAGCAAGGGACAAGGGAGCAGUAGGCACUACAUACCUCCAUUAUUAUAGUUAAAUGUCAUGUCUGGACUGACCUUUCCUUCUUCCUGGGCAGCCAACACUUUGUAGUUGGAAAUACUAUCAGUUUACACUCCUGAUGAAGUGGUAAAAAUACAUAAUUGAGAAAUAGAUUUACCCUGAUAAUUGCUUGCACUGCACACUUCCUUACAUUUGAAUUUGCAGAUGAUUCUUCAAAUGAGAGAUGUUCCAAAAUUUAGUGAUUACCUGAUGUUUCAGAUGAUGAUCAGGAUGAUUGACAAGGAAGAAAUGUUCCACAGGCUUGCUAUCUGAUUCAUCAGGGUCUGGUGAGAAAAGAGGGGAGAUGAACCUGAGGGAGGAAGGCGAUCGCAUGGUGGCGAACGCAGGAGGAACCGGAGGACGGGAGCAUGGUGGUUGAUGCCUAGGGUUUAGCGCAGAUCGUGGCGGC